GGGGGGGGGGGAGAGGGAAGGAACUCUGCCUCUCACUGCAGCAGGGAAACCCCAUGUUUUCUGCAAAAUGGUGUCUUCUAAUUGGACGCAAGGGAACUAUGGAAGCUUCUUUCUUGGGUGCAGCAAGGAAAAAUCUUCAGCCUUUCAGAGUCUUUUUUUCUCUUCGGCUAUUCAGAGUUGACAGGAGAUGACCUUUUCUCGUAGGUAACCUCAGAGGCUGGAAAUGGAUGCAAAGGAGGAGAAGGGUUAGGUAGUGUAGUGUUGUAUUGCCAAAGCAUAAUUCUUUUUUUUGUUGAAAUCGUGCAAAUUUUGUGCAGACCGAAUUAUACUAAGCCUUCUAUAUAUGCAUGUCUUUUGCGUUUCAGCAACAAAUGCUAUAGCUUAACAUGUGCUUUUGAAGAAUGGGAGGGCGAUGCACAAAGCAAUUACGACCCUGUCUUUUCACUUUUGCUUAUGGUUACAAGCCAAGAUUUGAAUUUUCCAACCUUAGAUUUGGAGUUUAUUUCCUCUUCCAUGUUUAGAGCUAAGAAGGUUUGCGUGCAUUUUGCAUUCUGUACACCAACUUUUUCCCUGUUUGCUUCCUGCUAUUUAUACUCAUUUAAUACCUUUUUCCUGCACCUCGUUAUCCCUGUUUAUAUUCUGAUGUGUUCGCCCUCCUUCCUCUCUACUGCAUACAAUACAUCCGUGCCAUCAGUUCUUCGCAUACUCUACUGUUACUCCGUGAUGCUAGUAGUGCAUUUAGAGUUGAUUUCUGAGAGGUCAUUCUGCUUGUUACCUUGUGUUGAACGAAUUUACCAUGGCUCUUAUACUUAACGUGGCCAUUAUCCUCCGCUGGCUUGUCUGAAGAUUUUGUUACAGCUGGUCUAGAAUAUUGAAGAUCGAAGUUGUGGAACAACCAUGAAAUAAGUCUACAAUCGCGCCUUCUGAGGUUCAUUUUGUACAUUACCCACAACCAAAUAACUUAUGGCAGUGAAUACAUCUGUACCCAUGUCCUGUACUUCGCAAUUAUCUCGUCACAACGUUCUGGAAGCGGCUGGUUUGAAACUCUUCUUAACAGCCACAUGAAUGUUUGUUUGAAAGGUGAAAUUUCCUCUUCAAAAGGACAUCUAUAAUAAAGACAUUGGAUAAAGUGUACAGUUUUGUUUGAAAUAGUAGUGCUUCCAAGAAUGAAUGCUUAAUCAGGUGAGAAAAAGUGUGUGCAAUCCAUCAACUUUUGUGUUUUCUUAA